rnacentral:misc_RNA from 1 species
AACUUUUAGCAAUGGAUCACUUGGCUCUCGCAUCGAUGAAGAACACAGCGAAAUGUGAUACGUAGUGUGAAUUGCAGAAUUCAGUGAAUCAUCGAAUCUUUGAACGCAUCUUGCGCUCCUGGGUACUCCUGGGAGCAUGCCUGUUUGAGUGUCGUGUAACCUCUCAAUCUGCCCCUUUCUUGCUUGAUUUGCUCGAGAGGCCUGGCUUCAGAUUGGAUCAUGGCUGGAUGAUGCCGUUGCCUGCAAAGGCGACAGCUCGGCCGAAAUGCAGUCAGGUGACGACCGCUCGUGUCGAUCGGCUUGAACUCGACGUUGUAAUUUCUCCCUCGUUGGGCUACGAUCUUCACGCCUUUGAAGGCGCACUUUGAAACACACUCUUUUUUGAGCAAAUCUGACCUCAAAUCAGGCAAGACUACCCGCUGAACUUAAGCAUAUCAAUAAGCGGAGGCU